AGAGUUUGAUCUGGCUCAGAACGAACGCUGGCGGCGUGGAUUAGGCAUGCAAGUCGAACGAGGAUAUAUCCUUCGGGAUAUAAGCCGAGUGGCGCAAGGGUGAGUAAUGCAUAGAUUACCUGCCUUUAGGAUAAGGACAACUUUGUGAAAACGGAGCUAAUACUUAAUAAUACAAAAGGAAAUAAUUUUCUUUUGUCAAAUGGGGGGUAGUAAUACCUUUCGCCUAAAGAGGGGUUUAUGUCCUAUCAGCUUGUUGGUGGGGUAACGGCCUACCAAGGCAAAGACGGGUAGCCGGCCUUAGAGGGUGGUCGGCCACACUGGGACUGAGACACUGCCCAGACUUCUACGGAAGGCUGCAGUCGAGAAUCUUUCGCAAUGCCCGAAAGGGUGACGAAGCGACGCCGCGUGGGUGAGGAAGGCCUUCGGGUUGUAAAGCCCUGUCAGGAGUUAAGAAAUGUAGGUACGCUAAUAUCGUGCUUAUUUGACAAAGGCUCCAAAGGAAGCCACGGCUAACUCUGUGCCAGCAGCCGCGGUAAUACAGAGGUGGCAAGCGUUGUUCGGAAUUAUUGGGCGUAAAGAGCACGUAGGUGGAUUUGUAAGUCAGAUGUGAAAGCCUUCUGUUCAACGGGAGAAUUGCAUCUGAAACUACAAACCUUGAGUGUAGGAGGGGAGAAUGGAACUUCUGGUGGAGCGGUGAAAUGCGUAGAUAUCAGAAGGAACGCCGGCGGCGAAAGCGAUUCUCUGGCCUAUUACUGACACUCAGUGUGCGAAAGCUAGGGGAGCAAACGGGAUUAGAUACCCCGGUAGUCCUAGCCGUAAACGAUGGGCACUAAGUAGAGGGAAUUACCGAUGUUCUCUCUGCCGUAGCUAACGCAUUAAGUGCCCCGCCUGGGGAGUACGGCCGCAAGGCUAAAACUCAAAAGAAUUGACGGGGGCUCGCACAAGCGGUGGAGCAUGUGGCUUAAUUCGAUGCAACGCGAAAAACCUUACCGGGGCUUGACAUGGUAGAAGUAGGAACCUGAAAGGGUAACGAACGGUAUCCAGUCCGUAGCUAUCACAGGUGUUGCAUGGCUGUCGUCAGCUCGUGUCGUGAGACGUUGGGUUAAGUCCCCUAACGAGCGAAACCCUUAUUUUUAGUUACCAGCGGGUUGUGCCGGGUACUCUAGAAAGACUGCCGUCGUCAAGACGGAGGAAGGUGGGGAUGACGUCAAGUCAUCAUGGCCCUUAUGCCCCGGGCUGCACACGUGCUACAAUGGUCGGUACAGACGGAAGCGAAGCCGAGAGGUGAAGCGAAUCCUAAAAAGCCGAUCUCAGUUCGGAUUGGAGGCUGAAAUUCGCCUCCAUGAAGUUGGAAUCGCUAGUAAUCGCGGAUCAGCAGUGCCGCGGUGAAUAUGUUCCCGGGCCUUGUACACACCGCCCGUCAAGCCACCCAAGCAGGAUGCGCCCGAAAACAUUAUAUCUAACCGGGGCAACUCGGAGGAAGAUGUUGAAGGAGUGUUUUGUGAGGAGGACUAAGUCGUAACAAGGUAGUCGUAGGAGAACCUGCGGCUGGAUCACCUCCUU
rnacentral:rRNA from 1 species